rnacentral:rRNA from 1 species
GACGAACGCUGGCGGCGUGCUUAACACAUGCAAGUCGAACGAAGUGGCGAACGGGUGAGUAACGCGUAAUCAACCUGCCCUUCAGAGGGGGACAACAGUUGGAAACGACGGCUAAUACCGCAUACUGAAGGAGGGGAUUGCGUCGGAUGAGCUAGUUGGAGGGGUAACGGCCCACCAAGGCGAUGAUCAGUAGCCGGUCGUAGAGGAGGAGCGGCCAAAUUGGGACUGAGACAAGGCCCAGACCCCUACGGGAGGCAGCAGUGGGGAAUCUUCCGCAAUGGACGAAAGUCUGACGGAGCAACGCCGGGUGAGAGAUGACGGCCUUCGGGUUGUAAAGCUCUGUUAAUCGGGACGCGGUACCGGAAUAGAAAGCAACGGCUAACUACGUGCCAGCAGCCGCGGUAAUAC